UACAGAGGGUGCGAGCGUUAAUCGGAUUUACUGGGCGUAAAGCGUGCGUAGGUGGCCAAUUAAGUCAAAUGUGAAAUCCCCGAGCUUAACUUGGGAAUUGCAUUCGAUACUGGUUGGCUAGAGUAUGGGAGAGGAUGGUAGAAUUCCAGGUGUAGCGGUGAAAUGCGUAGAGAUCUGGAGGAAUACCGAUGGCGAAGGCAGCCAUCUGGCCUAAUACUGACACUGAGGCACGAAAGCAUUGGGGAGCAAACAGG
rnacentral:rRNA from 1 species